GACAGAGGCCCCGAGCGUUAGGCGGAAUCACUGGGCUUAAAGCGUGUGUAGGCGGGCCCGUAAGUGUCUUGUGAAAUCCCCGGGCUCAACCUGGGAACUGCAUCUGUGACUGCAUAGCUAGAGUACGGUAGAGGGGGAUGGAAUUCCGCGUGUAGCAGUGAAAUGCGUAGAUAUGCGGAGGAACACCGAUGGCGAAGGCAAUCCCCUGGACCUGUACUGACGCUCAUGCACGAAAGCGUGGGGAGCAAACAGG
rnacentral:rRNA from 1 species